rnacentral:lncRNA from 1 species
CCUGCCAGGAGCCGUUUGGAGGUGGCUGGUUGGGCUCAGGGAUAACAGGGUGGGCAACUGUGCUCCCGUUCUGGGCCAGCAUUUAUUUACUGAUCUGUAGGAUCAGUACACAGGUAUUCUUCUUGGAUACUCGUCCCCGGGGGCUAUGAUGGGGUGGUGCAGCGGGGAGGAGGAGAGCAUGGCUCUCCAGGCACCUGUGCACGUGGUCGUCCUUGGCCGUGUUCCCGUACGCCUCGGCCUCCCGGCGCGCCUUGUCGCCGUAGGCCUGCAGGAAGGUGUGCUUGUUGCGGUGCAGGUAGUCCACCAGGUCCCCGUAGCGGCAGUACUCCGUGAUGAUGUAGAUGGGCCCUGGGGAGGAGACAGCAUCCUGAUGAGUUUUGUCCCUCGGGGAUGUUACGGGGUUGCAGGAUGUCUGGCCAGGGCCAUGGGGAAAAGCUGUUUCUCUGAUACUGAGUGUUUUUGGGACGUGGAAUUAGUGUCUGGGAAGGCAGGUGGGAUUAACAGAAACAUGCCUGCUGUCCCAAGCAUGUUGGAAAGGGAGGCUUCAGAGCCCCACAAGGCUUUCCUAGGGGAAGGACAAGCUGUUUUGAACCAGAAAUCAGGACUCACUCUCUCUUUGCACAAUUCUCCCCCCGCACUCACUCACCCCCUUUGGUGCAGGCCCCCAGCAGGUUGACGAUGUUGAGGUGGGGCCCCAGGUGGCUCAUGAUCUUCAGCUCGGACAUGAGGGCCUGCUUCUCACUGCUGCGGGCUGUGGCUGUGGGGCAGAGCCGGGGUGAGCUGUGGGGCCGGGGGGGAGCUGGCAGGCACCGCUCAGCCCCACAGCAUUGGGAUGGGGGGACAGGGUGGCAGGGGGGGACUCACACUUGAGCAUUUUCACCGCCACCUUCAUGGUGGACUGCGAGUGGCUCAGGCCGUGGGCUGUCGCCUCCACCACGCGGCCAAAAGCGCCGGAGCCGAGGGUGCGUCCUAACACCAGCUUUGUCCCUGGGCACCUCCCAGCUGGAGUCAUAGGGGAGCUGCAUGGGAUCCACGUAGAUGUACUCGUGCCCAUCGGAGCUGACCGACUCGAUCACCUUCCAGCGGAUUUCGUAACGAGGUUUCUGGAGAGGGGAGCAAGGAAGCAAGAGAGAUCUGAGAGGCUGGGGGGUCAGGGAGGGAAUAGGGGAUGUGGAUGGGCUUUGUUAGGGAGAUUUUGUUCCCUGCAGCAAUUGCUGCCUGCCCUGUCUAGCCUACAGACUGCAGGGGUUGUGGAGGCCCAUGAUCUCUGGUAUGAGUGGGACAUGAUCAGGCCCAUGCCAGCAGGAGCUCACGGUUUUGCUCUUCCCAUCCACCCUGGCAUGGGGGUACCACGGGAGCAGCCUGCAAACACUCCCCUCUUUUACCUUCUGCCACAGGACGAUCAGGAUGAUCAGGGAGAUGACGGUGAGGACCAGCAAGGCCAGGAUGACGGAGAUGAUGACCACUUUGAACGGCAAGGCUACAACGAUAACCACAGGGACAGCAGUCAGACUCCUCCACCCCUGCACACUGGGGAAAGCAAAAACCUCGGGAGAGGUUUGACCACAGGAGAGUGUGGACCAGCUGAUCUCUGGCUGGGGCAUCCCUUCAGCAGAGCACGUUACGGUCUGCUCCCCACUGGUGGCACUGCUGUUCUCCUUGAGAUCCACCACUUUGGCUGGCACUGGAACCAAGAGACACUGGUGGGAAUUAAUCCUCCACUCUGA